CACGUAGGGUGCGAGCGCUGUCCGGAAUUAUUGGGCGUAAAGAGCUCGUAGGCGGUGUGUCGCGUCGGCCGUGAAAACCUGUGGCUUAACCAUGGGCUUGCGGUCGAUACGGGCAUCACUGGAGUUCGGCAGGGGAGACUGGAAUUCCUGGUGUAGCGGUGAAAUGCGCAGAUAUCAGGAGGAACACCGGUGGCGAAGGCGGGUCUCUGGGCCGAUACUGACGCUGAGGAGCGAAAGCGUGGGGAGCGAACAGG
rnacentral:rRNA from 1 species